AGUAAGAUAGAGCAGCAAGCCAUCCUGGUAGAGGGAGAAGGGCAGAGGACUUGAGGGUCAGGCAUUUGAUUUAUCUCUAAGUGUAAUUACCUGACUCCAGUUUAUGGUGAGGAGAGGAGGGGGUAAAAGGAAACAAAGGGUGAAGGAAACGAUGGAAGUAGUAAUGCUCAGCGAACAGUUGACUAUGCCACCUGAAGUGCUUAUGAACCCGUUUUGGCUUUGGAAACUUUCUUCAGACAUGGAUGCUCACCUGAAGAAUAUGAAGUCAAGGAAGACCAUCCACAGAAAAGAUGCUUGCCAAACUCCCAGGUUCCUGGCAGAAUGAAUAAUGUGAAUAAAAUGCAUGUUUAGUCCAACAGUCCUUCUUAAGUGGUAUAUAAAUAAAUAGUAUACAAUAAUAGAU
rnacentral:lncRNA from 1 species